AGUACGGUCGCAAGACUGAAACUCAAAGGAAUUGACGGGGGCCCGCACAAGCGGUGGAGUAUGUGGUUUAAUUCGAUGCAACGCGAAGAACCUUACCUGGUCUUGACAUGUCGAGAACUUUCCAGAGAUGGAUAGGAGCCUUCGGGAACUCGAACACAGGUGCUGCAUGGCUGUCGUCAGCUCGUGUCGAGAGAUGUUGGGUUAAGUCCCGCAACGAGCGCAACCCUUGUCCUUAGUUGCCAGCACGUAAUGGUGGGAACUCUAAGGAGACCGCCGGUGACAAACCGGAGGAAGGUGGGGAUGACGUCAAGUCAUCAUGGCCCAUACGACCAGGGCUACACACGUACUACAAUGGUAGGGACAGAGGGAUGCAAACCCGCGAGGGCAAGCCAAUCCCAGAAACCCUAUCUCAGUCCGGAUUGGAGUCUGCAACUCGACUCCAUGAAGUCGGAAUCGCUAGUAAUCGCAGAUCAGCAUUGCUGCGGUGAAUACGUUCCCGGGCCUUGUACACAACGCCCGUCACACCAUGGGAGUUUGUGCACCAGAAGC
rnacentral:rRNA from 1 species